rnacentral:rRNA from 1 species
UUCCGUAAGGGGUACCUGCGGAGGGAUCAUUACCGAGUUUACAACUCCCAAACCCCUGUGAACAUACCACUUGUUGCCUCGGCGGAUCAGCCCGCUCCCGGUAAAACGGGACGGCCCGCCAGAGGACCCCUAAACUCUGUUUCUAUAUGUAACUUCUGAGUAAAACCAUAAAUAAAUCAAAACUUUCAACAACGGAUCUCUUGGUUCUGGCAUCGAUGAAGAACGCAGCAAAAUGCGAUAAGUAAUGUGAAUUGCAGAAUUCAGUGAAUCAUCGAAUCUUUGAACGCACAUUGCGCCCGCCAGUAUUCUGGCGGGCAUGCCUGUUCGAGCGUCAUUUCAACCCUCAAGCACAGCUUGGUGUUGGGACUCGCGUUAAUUCGCGUUCCCCAAAUUGAUUGGCGGUCACGUCGAGCUUCCAUAGCGUAGUAGUAAAACCCUCGUUACUGGUAAUCGUCGCGGCCACGCCGUUAAACCCCAACUUCUGAAUGUGACC